UACGGAGGGUGCAAGCGUUAUCCGGAUUCACUGGGUUUAAAGGGUGGGUAGGGGGGUGGGAAGGUCGGUGGUGAAAUCUCCGUGCUUAACAUGGAAACUGCCAUUGAUACUACUGAUCUUGAAUUUUCAGGAGGUAAGCGGAAUAUGUCAUGUAGCGGUGAAAUGCUUAGAUAUGACAUAGAACACCAAUUGCGAAGGCAGCUUACUACAGGAAUAUUGACACUGAUGCACGAAAGCGUGGGGAUCAAACAGG
rnacentral:rRNA from 1 species